UGAAAUGACUUGACCAAGUAGAUCUCUUUUUGAAAGCAUGAAUUUCAGAUAGUGGAAUCACUCCAACCCAUAGAAUAAAUAUUUAAUUAUUGUAGAAAUUAAAACUUAAAAGUUCUUUCCUUAGCCUCAGGGGGGAAGUCACUUUAUCUUCUCUGAAGGCAGAACUGUGGGUUGGAGGAAUGUAGAGAGGAAAUUUUGUAAAAUUAUUCAUCAGUAAUGAGCAAUAGACUAGAAAAAAUUUGUAAUACUUUGAGCAGAAAAAAACAAAGUAACUUAUACUCACUAAAUUUCAAGACAUGGGUUGGGAGAAAUAAAGAAAAGAAUAUUAAAUCUGACAACCUCUCCUCCCCUUUUAAUUCCUAUAUCCAAUCGCAUAUUAUUACUUUUUCACCCCCUUUCCCGUCUCAGUAUACUAAUCUUCUCUCACUUUUAAGGAUGAAGGUGUUUGGGAUAAGAAGAAAAUUGGCUAUGAAGACAAUAUUUGUUCAUGAGUAGGGUGAUGUAAAUAUUACCAUGGAAGUUUUUGCAUCUGUUUUGGAAGAGGGAGAAUGGCACUGAAACUACUAAAAUCAUAUUUAUUUACCAUCUUGUGGGUUAAUUUUGCAUUGGUGUGACCAAAAUAUCUGACAAGAACAACUUAGAGGAGAGAUAGUUUGUUUUGACUCAUGGUUUCAGACAUUUAGUUCAUGGUGGGCCAAUUCCAUUGCUCUGGGUCCAAUGUGAGGCAGCACAUCAUGGCAGAUGGGUGAAAUAGAGGGAAACUGCUUAGCACCUAGAUUCUGGGUGUCAGAGAGACAGAGGAGAAGGGGCCAUAGUGAAGAUGAACAUUUCCAGGGUACACUCCCAGUGACCCACUUCCUCUAGGCACAACCCACCUGCCUACAUUUACCACCCUGGAAGUUAGUCCAUUUAAACUAGAAUGGGCUAUUUAGGUUACAGCUCUCACAAUCCAAUCACUUCAGCUCCGAACAUUCCUGCAUUAAUAUGGGAACUUCAUAUCCAAACCACAACACUAUGGGUGCAAGGUUCUUUCAGUGAUUCAAAGCUGCCAAUGAGAGCUUGAAAGCAACAGAAAAAAUAAUUGUGUGUGUUUUUCACACUACCAUAAAGUUAAUAGGACUAAAUUUUUAAUAGUGAUGCAAACAGUGUUAUAAAGAUAACUGCUGUGGGAACAAAUGGAAAGAAGAUAUGCAUUCUUUUGGGGGCUCGAUGUGGUGGCAUAUAUCUGUGAUUCUAACUACUAAGGGAACUAAGAUUAGAGGAUUGCAAGUUCAAGUCCAAUCUGAGUUAAGUGAGUUAAAUGCUGUCUCAAAAUAAAGAACAAAAAAGGCUCAGUAGUACAGCACCCAUGUGUUCAAUUUGCAGUACUGAAAAUUAAAAAGAAAGAUGGAUUUGGGAAGAUUCAAAAAGCAAUUCAAAGUGAGUCUAGAAAAAAAAUAUUCUAUAAAAAUGGUUUGAAAACAGAAAGGCAUUCCAGGUGAAAAGGAACAUAUUCUACCUGAUGCAUUACAUUCUUUCUUUGUUCCCGGAAUGAAUUACAGUAUUAUGGUGCAGCCAAUGGGCUAAUAUGUGAAAAAAUAAUGCAAGAAAAUGAAGAUAUGAAUCAUGACUAGUAACAAUGAGGAGAUUGCACUUCAGGGAAAUGAUUUGAAACAUUUUGGGAAAAUUCUUCCAUUGGAAUGAUGGAUACUGAGAAAAAAGGGGGAAAUGGAGAGAUAUUGAGAUCAAUGAGAGAAGAAGGAAGUCUAUAGAGGUUCCCACUGAAUGCUACCUAAUGUAAUCAAAUAAAAAUAGCAGUACCACAUUAGAAAACAUAGGGAUUUCAAUAAGUUAUAAAAUCAAUUUCCUUAAUCCUUCUUUUCCAAGAGACAUGUUUGAAAUCAAGAAAUGUAUUUCUCCAAAGAACACAGUGAAAGAACUGUGACUGAUGUCCAAAGAUUGUGAGGAAGCGUUAAGACAAUAAUAUAAACGUGAGUAGGUGAUAUUUUAAGUAAAAAUAUAUGUUGUCUCUUUGAAUUCAUAGUAGGUUGAAGGAGGAAGGAGGGAUUUUACAGAUUACUGUUGAAAUGUAUAGCCACACAGAUGACUCUCAAAAUAAUUACAUUGCGUGAAAGAAGCCAAAUUAAAAAUAUAUAAAUCAAUAAAACCACUUUUGUGUAGUUCCAUUUAUAUAAAAUUCUGGAAAAAGCAAACUAAUUUCUAGGGACAGAACCAAUUUUAGUAACUGCUUGAAUAUGGGGACAGGAUAGGUUUCCUUAUGAAGGGGCAUGAGGAAACUUUUGUUUUUUAUGAGCAUCUUCACUUCUUUUUUAAAAAUAUUUUUUGUUGUUGUUGAUAGACCUUUAUUUUAUUUAUUUAUACGCAGUGCUGAGAAUGGAAUCCAGUGCCUCACACAUGCUAGACAAGUGUGAAGUGUGCUACUGCUUAGCCACAGCUCUAGCUCUUCAUUUCUUAGUAUGUUGAUAGUUUCAUAGAGGUGCAUUUGUGUCAAAAUUUACCAAAUACUUUACACAUGUGCAUUUUCUAGUGUGUCAGUUAUAUCUCAAUAAAGCAAUAUUUUUAAAAGGAGAUAAUAUAGAUGAAAAAAAAAACCUCAAACACAUUUUGUUCCCAGAAUGUAUAGUGGUCUUAACAAAUACUUACUUGGAUAACCCCUUACUUGAAUAUCUUUUCAUCAAUGGAAUAGGGAAGCUUAUUCCAGAGUUACAUUAAAAAAUUAUUAAACUAUUGCAUGUCCAUGAAACAUAGAACAUCUUUGCAAUUCCUUGUUGGAACGGUCCUGUAUCCAUUGCCAGGUUGCUUGUUAUCUGAUGCCAGCUAUGACUCGGAUUUACUGUAAUUGCCAAAUCUACCCUCAUAUUAUCACCUGAAAGAUGUGAAUUAAAAUAUAUACACCACACUUCAAAGACUUUAAAAAAAGAAGUUAUAAAGAAAUAUUUAUAAUAGAUUUGUUGGCACUAUGCAAGUUCAUAGGGUUUAAAGAUGAUGAGCAGGACAUGGUCCCUUCUCUCUAUAAGCUUCUGACAGAUAAGAAAAUCGAUUAUAAGAUAACCUAAUAUGUUAUUAUGUUUUGAAAAAAAAUAGAGAAGAAGUGCAGAGGAGGAAGGAACUAAAAAUAAUAAAACUAUAAAGCUUUAUUGGAACCAUAGAAAUUAUAAAGUAUAGUGGUUUGCAUGUUAACAUAAAAUGUAUAUUUAUCUGAGGAUAGAAGAAAUGAUAUUUCAAUUGCUUCCUGAAGAAGAAAUAUUUCAAUGGACAGGAGAAUGGAGGUUGACUAUGGAGAACAUGUACAAUAGCAUAGACUCAUAAGGCAACACAUUUUAAGGAAGAUAUAUAGAAAUUCAUUGGGCUUCCAGGAAAGGAAAAGUGUGAGAGAACACUGGGAGAUGAAUCUGAAGAUAGUUUGGGGCAAUAUUGUGGUGGCCUUAUCUGCCACCUUGAAUAAAAUAUCAACAUGCAUAAUUAAGGAAAAACUAAUGAGUAUGUUAAAAUAACCAGUGUAAAAGUGUUUGAUUAAAUAUUUAAAUUUAAAAGUAUAUUUUAGUUUUAAUUGAUACAUAGUUGUGAGUAUUUAUAGGGCACAGUGUUACGGUAGCUCAAUACAUAUGCACUUUAACAGUAUUCAAACCAUAGGGGUUUUUUUGUAAGGUGUAUAUGAAACAAUAAUUCCAAAAUGUGUAGCAUAGUUUUUGAUAAAAAGAAAACUCUCAAACGUUAGAUAUUAUGAUUGUGAUCACGUUGUAAGGGGACUGAAAAGACCAGUGUAUGGCCAAUUGUCUUUUUCAGAUUGGAUAUAUGGGGCCUAUAAUAAAUGGAAAAAAUUAUAUAUUGGACAUAAGAAUGCCUGUUUCUUGUCACAGCCUAAUAUUAAUGAAGGGGACAAUAUGGUGUCUUGGAUCUUUGGAUUUUUUUCAAUCUAUGAAAUGAUGGAACUGGAUCACCAUUGGAUUUAAGAGGUUGUCAGCCAUAAUCAUCCAUAUCAGAAAAGGACCAGGAGUGGAAAACACUGAUGACAUCUUCAAGUAACAUUAAUGUCCCAGUUUUCAGCAAAGCUACUGCAGCAAGAAGAACUGAAUUCUGAUGCAAGGUACAAAAGGCAAAUAUAGGAGUUACUUUGGUUGCAAAGAGGAAAUUCAAGCUUUUCUGAAGAAGGUAGUGGAAUUUUAUGUGUAUGAAAUUGAUGUUUCCCUUGUCAUAAUUAUGCUUAUUUCUGAUACUAUCUAUUGCCACCUGGUGUUUGAAGAAAGAGAGUGAUGUUUUCAACAAAAAUAUUUUCUAGAGCUUAACAACUCAAGAGAUGUCCCAUCCUAUUUGAGUGGCUUUUGGGAAAAGAAUAUUCAAAUAAUGGCAAUAAGAAUCACCAUAAAAAUUAAAUUAGUAUUAUACUUUAAAAGGGAACCACUGAAAUUACUCAGUAAACAGUACAUUGUAUCUUGUGCUCCCUUUGAAGAUGUAAGUAGCUAGUUGCAGAUUCCUUAAAAUGACAACAAGCUCUGAACCUCCACAGCAAUUUGCUUCAUAUUAAAUAGCAUUUCAGCUAUUUUUUUUUUGCUGGAAUUGAUAUGACAAAGAAGCUUAUUUAUUUUCCUUUCAUUUGAGAAGCUGCUUCCUUCCUGGCAGUAAUGAGGUUGGCAUCACUGAAGCAGACCUGAUCCAGAUUUCUAAUGCGCACUUGGAGAGGGCUUUCCAAACUGCAAGAUCUCUGGAUGGUGGUUGCCAGCUUGCACAAUCCCAGUCCUUAAAGGGCUACCUGCUCCCAAGGUCAACUGUUGCUGUCAUAGAUGGACAUGUUGUAAGGGCCUUUGAAAGAAGCAUACCUUCUAGAAGCUUUUGGAACUUUUGCUUUUCUGGAACUUUGACAAAAUUACUGUAUUUCUUCUUCAUGGUGGUAACUCAAAUUUUGCUACAUUUCUGCUGCAUGCCCUGGUACAGGACAUCAAUUCCACAGGAUAUCAGCAACAUGAGGUAUGCAUGAGAGGCAGGUUAGAUGAAAAGGAAAACAACUAGAGCAGAGACGUGAAAAAUAAAUCCUGAGCACAGUCUUUACCAGUUAACUCAGUACCCCAGAACAGAUGUUUAUUUUUAGCCAUGCUUUUCUCAUUAUAUUAAAAAAUAGAUUCAUAGCAACAACAAAUUAUGAUCUGAGGGGUAGGACAGAGACUCUAGAGCUAGUUAUGUCAGUGCAUGUCUGAUGCACAUCUAAUGCAAACUCUUUGACCUCUCUGAAUUUCUUGGUUUGUGUACAGAGCUUCUAAAUUAGGUACUCUGAUAUAGAGUUAGAGAUAUAUUUUAAUUAAUAUAGUUUACAUAAUAUAUUCCAGGGUUUUAGGUGCGUGUUUUUUUUAUGUAAACAGUGUUUACCACAAGAAGAUAUUCUACUAAGAAUGUCAUUUGAAUUUUCCCACAAGAAAUUUCUAUUAGCCAUAUUAUUGAAUCUCAACCCCAUAUUCUGUGUUGACCAUUUGUAACAGUAAGGUAAAUCCAGACAAAAUCAUUAUAAUUGAGAAUAGAUGGGCCAGGAAGAGCAUAAUUAAAAUUGCUGGCAAUAUGACAUGUAAAAUUGAAAUGAACCUGAAACUUUUACAACUUAGGUCAUAAGUUGACAAAGUGGAUAAGGGGAUAUAAAAACAUGUUAAAUAUUCUAGUUUCUAUUGCAUUUUGAGUUGGAUAUAGAUACUGGGAAAAUCAAAUGUAAGUAGAAAAGUAAUUCAAAUGUGUAUUAAAUUUCAAUUUAAUUCAUUCACAAAGAAUGAAUAUAAAUUGUAAAAUAUCUAAAAUACUGAAAUUUGAUUGUCCCAAAUGAAUGAGACAAAUGGAAAUGAGAUAUCUUUCCUUUUUCUUCCAUUGACAGAGUAUCUCCAGUGUUGGUGACCCAACUCCCAAGGGACAAUUAUUGGUCUAACAUGACUGAAACUAGGUGCAUCAGAAUUCUUUUCUGCUACUUUGUUUUAUGGAAUAUGAGAUUAAAAAGAUUUUUUGUUCCCACUUAAGACUCAGAGUUAUAAGAAUAUGAAACUGAAGUCAUUCAGUAUUCAAAUAGGGGUUGUGUGGAGAAGCAGUUCAAGAAAAUGAUGCUGCAAAGAAAGUAAUCUAAGCUUGGAGACAGGAGGGAAGAGUUCACCCUGACACUGGCUAAGUCCUGACAUCCUGCUUAUACCAAUUCCCUCUAAUUGUUCUGUUUUAACUUGCAUAAGCCUACAUGUGGACACAUGCACAUUUUUUACUUUUUUUUUUUUUGCAUUGUGCAUCUAUUGCUUGGAAUAUAGAAUCUUAACCAAAAGCUUAAGAAGAAAACAAUUGUGAUAUCAAGAUUCAAUGGUAUAUUAAUAGUUUAAAAUAAUUUACCAUAUUUAAGUCUCAUUAUAUCUAAACAUGUAGAAUUAACAUGACUACAAGUAUGAGAGGACAAAAAAAGCAGACCAAAUUAUGUGUUGUGCAUGUAUGGAUAUAUUAAAAUGAGUACCAUUAUGAAUAACUAUAAUGCACCAAUAAAAAUAAAAAUAAUACAGGUAAUUAAAAUACAUCAAAAACAAUGAAAAUAAAUAUGAAUAGUUAAGUUUUCCUAGGAGGGAGCUAUUAGAUUUGGUAAAAAAGUUAAACAGAGAAACUAAGAAUAAAAACAAAUAGACAGCUCAAGCGACAUUACUUAAAUGCUGUUUUUCAAGAAAUGUAUUCCAGACAAAAUAAUACAGAGCAUAAAAAUGUAGGAUGGAAAAAAAUCUGAUGUAAAAUAUAAAAAGUGAAUGUGGCAAUACUGUUAUAAUAAAGAACAGAAUUCAAUGUGAAGGUUAUUUAUUUGGGUAAAGAGGCCUGUUUUAUUAUGAUAUUUGCUCCACUUUACUAGGACAGAAUUGGGAGCCUUUGUUCUCCUAGCUGCAUCAGCUUAAAGUAUGCAAGUCAAUCCAAUGAAACAUGCUAUGGACGUAGAUAAAAACAUCACUGGAAGGGAGAUGCUACUCUUCUUCUCAGAAGUCAUCAAAUCAAACAACAUCUACAAUCACAGUGUAAAUAAACAUGACUCAUGGGAUUUAGUCACAAAGCAACUAUUUUGAUUUUCAUUGUUUCAUUUCAUGAGUGUUCUGUGGGGAAUUCCUACUUUUCCCUGCUCAAGCAAACUGUGAAACUACUUGGUUAAUUCUAAACAAAUAAUUACUAUUUGCAUUAAUUUACAGUUUAUCAACUUAUCCAUUAAAAUAUCCAAUACUUUGUUAUAAUCAAAAACUCCAAUCUGAUUUCAGGAAUUUCCUCUUUUUUCAUUGUAUGCCCUACUGAAGGAAGAUGGCUAAUGAAGGAGACUGGUUGACUUCAUCUCUCUGUCUUUCCCUAGUUCUUUUACUCCUCCUCUUUCCUUCUGGCUCAUGGGUCUUGUCCAACAUCACUAAUCAUCAAGGAAUAUAAAGAAAAUCUACAAUGAGGAAUAACCUCACAGCUCUUAUAGCUGAUAGCUAUUAUUGAAAAAAUCCAAAUAAAUAAAAAAAAAUAGAUAAGCACCAGUAUGGACAAGAGAAUUCCUGUACAGUGUUUUUGUGAGCGUGGAAUGGUAUAGCCAUGAUGGGAAACAAUAUGAGGUUUUCUCAAAAAUUAGAACUAGAACAACUGUAUGAUCUAGCAAUCCUACUAUCUAGCAUAUAUCCAGAGGAAAUAAAAUCAGUAUGUUAAAGAGACAGUUGUACUCCCACAUUCAUGGCAGCAUUAUUCACAAUGACAAAGAUAAGGAAUCAACCUAAGAAACUGUGUUGUAUUAUUCCAUCUCAAAAAGGAUGGAGAUCUUGCCAUUUGUGUAAACAUUGGUAAAACUAGAGGAUAUUAUGUUAAGUAAAAGAAGCAAGACCCAACACAGAAAUAUACUGCACAAUCUCACUCAUACAAGAAAUAUUUUUAAAAAGUAUAAACUGUAGAAACAUAGUAAAACAGUGGCUAUCAAGGGCAAAGAGAAGGGGUGAGAUGGACGAUGGGUAAAUAUGGGUCAGAGACACAGAGUGACAACUUAUAGAUCUACAGAAUGGGACUAUAGUUAAUAUUAUGGUAUUGCUUUUUGGAAAUUUCCUAAGAGAGUAUAGUUCAAAGAUCCUUAAUACACAGAAGAAGCUAUGGGAGGUGAUGAAAAGAGAAUUUGUUGGACUAAAGUAAUAAUUGCACUACAUAUAUAGCAAAACAUCAUGUUGUACAACUUGAACAUAUAAAAAAUGGAAUUUAUUUAAGUUUAUGAGGGAAGUGAUCUUAUAGAUAGUUGGCAGGAAAUAAUUGAGGGAAAGACUUUUUUUUUUAGUAAGUAGCACACAUAAUUGCAAAUCCAGGUGGGAAAAUUAAUAUUAUAAUUAUAUCUGUGGUCAUACACAAAGAUGAACUCUUUACAACUCAAAAGCCUACAUUUAGAACUUGUUCACAGAAUCCUAAAGGAAAAAAAAACCAAGAAUAUCUUUUUUAAUGCUGGUAAUGGCAAAU